rnacentral:rRNA from 1 species
AUUGAACGCUGGCGGCAGGCUUAACACAUGCAAGUCGAGCGGGGAAAGGUAGCUUGCUACCUGACCUAGCGGCGGACGGGUGAGUAAUACUUAGGAAUCUGCCUAUUAGUGGGGGACAACGUUUCGAAAGGGACGCUAAUACCGCAUACGCCCUACGGGGGAAAGCAGGGGAUCACUUGUGACCUUGCGCUAAUAGAUGAGCCUAAGUCGGAUUAGCUAGUUGGUGGGGUAAAGGCCUACCAAGGCGACGAUCUGUAGCGGGUCUGAGAGGAUGAUCCGCCACACUGGGACUGAGACACGGCCCAGACUCCUACGGGAGGCAGCAGUGGGGAAUAUUGGACAAUGGGGGCAACCCUGAUCCAGCCAUGCCGCGUGUGUGAAGAAGGCCUUAUGGUUGUAAAGCACUUUAAGCGAGGAGGAGGCUCCUAUAGA